GAUGAACGCUGGCGGCGUGCCUAAUACAUGCAAGUCGAGCGAACAGAUGAGGAGCUUGCUCCUCUGACGUUAGCGGCGGACGGGUGAGUAACACGUGGAUAACCUACCUAUAAGACUGGGAUAACUUCGGGAAACCGGAGCUAAUACCGGAUAAUAUAUUGAACCGCAUGGUUCAAUAGUGAAAGACGGUUUUGCUGUCACUUAUAGAUGGAUCCGCGCCGCAUUAGCUAGUUGGUAAGGUAACGGCUUACCAAGGCAACGAUGCGUAGCCGACCUGAGAGGGUGAUCGGCCACACUGGAACUGGGACACGGUCCAGACUCCUACGGGAGGCAGCAGUAGGGAAUCUGCCGCAAUGGGCGAAAGCCUGACGGAGCAACGCCGCGUGAGUGAUGAAGGUCUUCGGAUCGUAAAACUCUGUUAUUAGGGAAGAACAAAUGUGUAAGUAACUAUGCACGUCUUGACGGUACCUAAUCAGAAAGCCACGGCUAACUACGUG
rnacentral:rRNA from 1 species